UUAAGCGACUAAGCGUACACGGUGGAUGCCCUGGCAGUCAGAGGCGAUGAAGGACGUGCUAAUCUGCGAUAAGCGUCGGUAAGGUGAUAUGAACCGUUAUAACCGGCGAUUUCCGAAUGGGGAAACCCAGUGUGNUGUGUGUUAGUGGAAGCGUCUGGAAAGGCGCGCGAUACAGGGUGACAGCCCCGUACACAAAAAUGCACAUGCUGUGAGCUCGAUGAGUAGGGCGGGACACGUGGUAUCCUGUCUGAAUAUGGGGGGACCAUCCUCCAAGGCUAAAUACUCCUGACUGACCGAUAGUGAACCAGUACCGUGAGGGAAAGGCGAAAAGAACCCCGGCGAGGGGAGUGAAAAAGAACCUGAAACCGUGUACGUACAAGCAGUGGGAGCACGCUUAGGCGUGUGACUGCGUACCUUUUGUAUAAUGGGUCAGCGACUUAUAUUCUGUAGCAAGGUUAACCGAAUAGGGGAGCCGAAGGGAAACCGAGUCUUAACUGGGCGUUAAGUUGCAGGGUAUAGACCCGAAACCCGGUGAUCUAGCCAUGGGCAGGUUGAAGGUUGGGUAACACUAACUGGAGGACCGAACCGACUAAUGUUGAAAAAUUAGCGGAUGACUUGUGGCUGGGGGUGAAAGGCCAAUCAAACCGGGAGAUAGCUGGUUCUCCCCGAAAGCUAUUUAGGUAGCGCCUCGUGAAUUCAUCUCCGGGGGUAGAGCACUGUUUCGGCAAGGGGGUCAUCCCGACUUACCAACCCGAUGCAAACUGCGAAUACCGGAGAAUGUUAUCACGGGAGACACACGGCGGGUGCUAACGUCCGUCGUGAAGAGGGAAACAACCCAGACCGCCAGCUAAGGUCCCAAAGUCAUGGUUAAGUGGGAAACGAUGUGGGAAGGCCCAGACAGCCAGGAUGUUGGCUUAGAAGCAGCCAUCAUUUAAAGAAAGCGUAAUAGCUCACUGGUCGAGUCGGCCUGCGCGGAAGAUGUAACGGGGCUAAACCAUGCACCGAAGCUGCGGCAGCGACGCUNAUGCGUUGUUGGGUAGGGGAGCGUUCUGUAAGCCUGCGAAGGUGUGCUGUGAGGCAUGCUGGAGGUAUCAGAAGUGCGAAUGCUGACAUAAGUAACGAUAAAGCGGGUGAAAAGCCCGCUCGCCGGAAGACCAAGGGUUCCUGUCCAACGUUAAUCGGGGCAGGGUGAGUCGACCCCUAAGGCGAGGCCGAAAGGCGUAGUCGAUGGGAAACAGGUUAAUAUUCCUGUACUUGGUGUUACUGCGAAGGGGGGACGGAGAAGGCUAUGUUGGCCGGGCGACGGUUGUCCCGGUUUAAGCGUGUAGGCUGGUUUUCCAGGCAAAUCCGGAAAAUCAAGGCUGAGGCGUGAUGACGAGGCACUACGGUGCUGAAGCAACAAAUGCCCUGCUUCCAGGAAAAGCCUCUAAGCAUCAGGUAACAUCAAAUCGUACCCCAAACCGACACAGGUGGUCAGGUAGAGAAUACCAAGGCGCUUGAGAGAACUCGGGUGAAGGAACUAGGCAAAAUGGUGCCGUAACUUCGGGAGAAGGCACGCUGAUAUGUAGGUGAAGCGACUUGCUCGUGGAGCUGAAAUCAGUCGAAGAUACCAGCUGGCUGCAACUGUUUAUUAAAAACACAGCACUGUGCAAACACGAAAGUGGACGUAUACGGUGUGACGCCUGCCCGGUGCCGGAAGGUUAAUUGAUGGGGUCAGCGCAAGCGAAGCUCUUGAUCGAAGCCCCGGUAAACGGCGGCCGUAACUAUAACGGUCCUAAGGUAGCGAAAUUCCUUGUCGGGUAAGUUCCGACCUGCACGAAUGGCGUAAUGAUGGCCAGGCUGUCUCCACCCGAGACUCAGUGAAAUUGAACUCGCUGUGAAGAUGCAGUGUACCCGCGGCAAGACGGAAAGACCCCGUGAACCUUUACUAUAGCUUGACACUGAACAUUGAGCCUUGAUGUGUAGGAUAGGUGGGAGGCUUUGAAGUGUGGACGCCAGUCUGCAUGGAGCCGACCUUGAAAUACCACCCUUUAAUGUUUGAUGUUCUAACGUUGACCCGUAAUCCGGGUUGCGGACAGUGUCUGGUGGGUAGUUUGACUGGGGCGGUCUCCUCCUAAAGAGUAACGGAGGAGCACGAAGGUUGGCUAAUCCUGGUCGGACAUCAGGAGGUUAGUGCAAUGGCAUAAGCCAGCUUGACUGCGAGCGUGACGGCGCGAGCAGGUGCGAAAGCAGGUCAUAGUGAUCCGGUGGUUCUGAAUGGAAGGGCCAUCGCUCAACGGAUAAAAGGUACUCCGGGGAUAACAGGCUGAUACCGCCCAAGAGUUCAUAUCGACGGCGGUGUUUGGCACCUCGAUGUCGGCUCAUCACAUCCUGGGGCUGAAGUAGGUCCCAAGGGUAUGGCUGUUCGCCAUUUAAAGUGGUACGCGAGCUGGGUUUAGAACGUCGUGAGACAGUUCGGUCCCUAUCUGCCGUGGGCGCUGGAGAACUGAGGGGGGCUGCUCCUAGUACGAGAGGACCGGAGUGGACGCAUCACUGGUGUUCGGGUUGUCAUGCCAAUGGCACUGCCCGGUAGCUAAAUGCGGAAGAGAUAAGUGCUGAAAGCAUCUAAGCACGAAACUUGCCCCGAGAUGAGUUCUCCCUGACUCCUUGAGAGUCCUGAAGGAACGUUGAAGACGACGACGUUGAUAGGCCGGGUGUGUAAGCGCAGCGAUGCGUUGAGCUAACCGGUACUAAUGAACCGUGAGGCUUAACCUU
rnacentral:rRNA from 1 species